rnacentral:lncRNA from 1 species
CCGGCAUGCUCUCUGCAACACGUGAAUCUGAUUCCAGCCCCAAGUUCUCUCCGUCCUCUUUUGUCAUCGUCAUCUUUUAUUAAGAGCUGUCGUUGUUGCUGCUGCUGUCGUCUUUGAUUGACGAGAUUAAGGUAAGUUGCUACUGCUCGAUAUGCGCAUCGCCUAUCGCGAACGGGGGGGCCCACUUUCGACAGCGACAAUAAUGACCCUCUCCUUCGACUUUAGUUUUGCUUUGAUCGACC